AUUGAACGCUGGCGGCAGGCCUAACACAUGCAAGUCGAGCGAGCGGCGGACGGGUGAGUAAUGCCUGGGAAUUGCCCAGUCGAGGGGGAUAACAGUUGGAAACGACUGCUACUCCCGCAUACGCUUUGCUUGCCCAGGUGCGAUUAGCUAGUUGGUGGGGUAAUGGCUCACCAAGGCGACGAUCCCUAGCUGGCCGGAGAGGAGGAUCGUCCAAACUGGAACUGAGACACGGUCCAGACUCCUACGGGAGGCAGAAGUGGGGAAUAUUGCACAAGGGGGGAAAGCCGGAUGCAGACAUGCCGCGUGUGUGAAGAAGGCCUUCGGGUUGUAAAGCACGUUCAGCGAGGAGGCGGUAAGCGAAGAAGAAGCACAGGCUAACUCCGUGCCAGCAGCCGCGGGAAUAG
rnacentral:rRNA from 1 species